GUGCAAAGCCUCCCAUUUUGCCUUGAGGACCAUAGCAAAUACCUCCUUUCUGGAUGGACAAGGGAGACCCUUGUCAGCAAGAAUUGUGCUACAGUCUCCCAGCCUAACCACAAGGACACACAAGGACUAGAACAUUCGCUCUGCUUCUACACAGCAUUGGCAAGAGUUUGAACACCUCUUUCUCAAACCAACAGCAAGAGUUGCCCAGGAAGUGCAUUCACUAACAUACUCCCCUAAAUAUUCUUGUGUGAAAAGAAGAGAUAUGUUGCCAUGAAUGGGUCUUUCAGUUGGUAUUUGUAGGACUGCAAAGUUGCAAAGCUGGCAACAUGGUAAUAGCUUAGAGUGUUAAAUUUUGUGAUUUACUACUUGAUAUGGUAGCACAAAAUUAGAACUACAAGAAGAAUAAAGGCUUGGUCACCUUACCUGUAAGAUCUACUAAUGACAAUAACUUUAUAGAGAAAAUUGCUCCUCUUUAAGCAAUGCCUCAUCUGACUUGAUGCUCUCUGCUGCAGAAGGUGAAAUUGCAACAAUUACAAACUUGAUCUUGGCUGUGACCCCUGAAUUGACCUUUUGAAGGAACCUGGAUUAUGUCUGAAUCUAUUAUCUCUGCAAGGAGACCAGCUGUCUUCAGAAUUGCUUUUGGGGCCCCGUAAUGUCAUCGUGAAAUUGCAGUUAGUAAUCUUGCCAACAAUUUCCAGAUUUGGUGCAGAUAAGCUUGAACACAUUUGACUCUUUGGUUUCCAAUGUUAUUUAGAGAAUUGGAUGACUUAAAGCAUUUAUUUUUUUCAACUCAAUUCUUAUCAUAAUCCAUCAACAUCACUGUGUUUUUAUUCUCUAUUUCAUUUUUAUAUGAUCCUAUUAGUUGAGAGAAACACAAGUGACAUUUUUCUUUCCUAUGGCCUUGUCUCCUUUUUGCCUUUGCUAGAACUCAGAGAUCAUAUACCUUUUACUAAAUUAGAAUUCAGCCAUAUCCUCUGACCAACAAUUUUCCUAGCACUGAUCUUCUUCACUGAGUUUUGUUAGGGAUGAAACAAAGGCAGUUCUUUCUGCUCCAUGCAAAUGACAUUUGCAACCUGUCCCUAAAUCACAGACCGGAAAUGCUUCUCUUAGAUGACUGAGGCUGAUACUUUUGAAAUGUGCUGCACUCCAGGACAUCCAAUCUGUCGGGAAAUGCUGUUGGCUCUCCAUCUGGAAUAUAUUCAGAGUUGAAGACUUUUCACCACCUCUUCUAAUAUCACCCUUGGCUCUCCAUAGAAAUCUCAAGGACACAACUUUUCCCCCCAUCUUGUGGAAGGAUGACAUUUUCUGAUAUUUGCUUCAAACUCUGAGUGAGACCCUAUGCAGGUCCCACAGGUUAUUUUAAUCUAUCUUCCUCACUGACACAAGUUCUAUUGGGGCUGAGACCAGAGAAGACAAUGUGAGACCCUGCAUCCAACAGUAUUCCUUUUAGAAACUAUGCCCAGACUGAGUGGGUGCAUUUUUGUUCUAAUACUUUUUCUCUUCUGUAGUUUACACAGUAGGAGAUAAUCUUUGAUAUGGCAACUAUGUCAUUCCCCUCAGUGUGCCCAACAACUCACAUCUCAUAGCUGCAAUAGGUCAGAGACAAAUUCCAUUAUGGAGUAAGGAGACAGUCUUCUAAAGGUGCAUUGCAUGUAGUGAGGUAUAGACAUAGCAAGCAAUGAAUGUUACAUCCCAGGAGCAGAGUCUGAGAGAAGACGGGUAGUCGUAAAUCCUGAAAUUACAACAAUUCCAUGUAAUUCAUCAGCUUCUGAGUAUCUCUCAAGUGACAUUUAUUAGUAGAAAGCUUUGUAGAACAGAGCGGUAUGCUGGCUAGCCAAGUUGAUUGCACUUCGAGGGUGAGUGGAUUCCUGAAUCCCCUAUUUAGAUAUAGGGCUAGAACAAGAUUGAGGAGCCAGUGUGAAUAUUUUCAUCUGGCAUUUCUUUUCUCUACUGAGUGAAUUCCUUUCUCCAACUCCCAGAACAUUGUUCAAUGAGGUAAUAAAAACUACAAUUCCAGAAAUUGUAGUUGGAUACUACUUUGAUAAUAAUAUCAUUUGAAUCUUAGCCUUUAUUUACAACACUUCAUUUAUAGGCACUAUAGUUCCCAGAAUGCACCAGCAACGUCAGUUUCCUUUACCCCACAAUUUUGCUUCAAUAUUUUUUUGGAAUUUGCAUUUUUUACCCAUAUGUUAAAAAUACCUGUCUGGAUGAAGGAAAAUUGAAUCUGUGUUCAGCCUAUAUUACAAAGCACCAUUUUCUGUACUAAGGGUUGGACUGUAUCCCAGAUUUCUAGUUGGACUCAUGUCUGAAUCAAGCAGCAAAUGGUUAAGAAGGCACUCAUUUUUUUCCCCUACGGUUUUGAAGUUGGUCUAUUUUUCAUACAGUUAAAGUGGGGUUUUCCUUUGACAGAAGCCUUAGUAGGAUUUUCUCAAGUCAGUUUUCUCUACGUCAAAGUUAGAAUCUAUUAUUCCCAGAGUCUAGCAUUGGUGUAUGUGACUUUAUUUAGAUGACUGUAUUUUCAUGUUUUCCCCAUGCUCUCAUCUGUCUUCAAGGCUGUUUAUCAUUUCUCCUUAUUUUAAACCACAUGCCUCAAAUGCUUUUUGCUCCUACUCUUUCUCCUGCUUUGCUGGAGAGAAAGCAUGCCUGACUUUGUCAUGGUGGAAAUAUCAUAAUUCUUGCAGUUUAUGUGAACUGUGAUUAUUAGCGAUUGAAAUGUUGCUAUGCUUAGGAAGAUAGUAAAGGUAGAGUGAGAUCCUCUCAAAAACAAGACAAAAUGAAGGAUUGUUAGGGCCAUUCUUCACCAGUAAGGAUCAUGUAGUGCAUUCUCCAUCAUCUAGGGCCAUUCUGAGGACUGUAAUGAUACUGAAGGGUGACAUGACAUGCAUCUUUAUCUGCCCCCUAAAUGGAGAGAUGGGGUCUGGCAAAGCAGGUGUCAUUCAGGCUUUUCCCCUCAAUGCUCAGAUGCCCAUGUAAGGUUGGGAAAGGCUAUCACAGCCCUGUGGGUAGAAGGUGAAGAGAAGAUGGGACAUGGACUGUGAGGAUAAGAAGGACAUGGGGUGGUGGAGAGAGGAGGGAGUGCUAGGUGUGGGUGGGGAGGAGCUUGCAUUAAUGGAAAGCGGGUGGGAGGACUGGAAGGGGCCUCAGGAUAGAGAGGGGGAAUGGUGUGAGAAUGGAGGGGGAGCCUGGAGAGAAGGGGACUCAUGAACGGAACUGACCAUAAGGAAGCUUCAUAAAUUAAAGACAUAAUCAAUAGACAGGCAACAUGGGGAGAUAAAAAGGUAUUGAUAGCUUGAAAGAUAAAAGGAAAUUUUAAUUACACUGUGAUUGAUAAAAUACGAUGAAAAGUAGUUCUUUGGCUGCUCCUUGACACUGUUCCCUGUUUGGAAGUUCUGAGG
rnacentral:lncRNA from 10 species